GAUGAAGAACGCAGCAAAAUGCGAUAAGUAAUGUGAAUUGCAGAAUUCAGUGAAUCAUCGAAUCUUUGAACGCACAUUGCGCCCCCUGGUAUUCCGGGGGGCAUGCCUGUCCGAGCGUCAUUACAACCCUCAAGCUCAGCUUGGUAUUGGGCCCCGCCGCUCCGGCGGGCCCUAAAGUCAGUGGCGGUGCCGUCCGGCUCCGAGCGUAGUAAUUCUUCUCGCUCUGGAGGUCCGGUCGUGUGCUCGCCAGCAACCCCCAAUUUUUUUCAGGUUGACCUCGGAUCAGGUAGGGAUACCCGCUGAACUUAAGCAUAUCAAUAAGCGGAGGA
rnacentral:misc_RNA from 1 species